rnacentral:rRNA from 1 species
UACAGAGGUCCCGAGCGUUGUUCGGAUUCAUUGGGCGUAAAGGGUGCGUAGGCGGCGCCGUAAGUGGGGUGUGAAAUCCCGGGGCUUAACCCCGGGACUGCAUUCCAUACUGCGGUGCUUGAGGACUGGAGAGGAGACUGGAAUUUACGGUGUAGCAGUGAAAUGCGUAGAGAUCGUAAGGAAGACCAGUGGCGAAGGCGGGUCUCUGGACAGUUCCUGACACUGAGGCACGAAGGCCAGGGGAGCAAACGGG